CACGUCGAGUUCGUAGGAAUUUUCGGGGAAUUUUUCAAACACCCGAGCUAUAUGUUAUGAUUUUCGGAAGUUUUGGACUAAAGAAAUUAUUAAGGGAAAAUAGAAAAUAACGUGGAGCGAUCUAGGCCAUCCAAUCCUCCACCGCUUAAUCUCAGCCCUCAGAUUUACUUUAGAUUUUGGCUAUAAAUAGCCUUAGAUCAGAUCAGCGAUGGAGAAGUAUCGAGAAGAACCCAGCGUUCUCAACCCGUUUCUGCGGCUCGACGACCCGACGGCACCACCCGGAUAAAACUCCUCCGUCCGCCAUAUCUCAGCGGCGGACCACAGGCGUUCGCUUCGUCUCCUUGGCGCCGACGUUCUUCUGGCAUCAGAUUGUUCAAUCGGCGACUGAAUGCAACGGUACGACCUUUCAAAGCUUGAAAUUUUUCCGGCGGCUUCAGCGAUUUCCGGCGAAUCCGGCCACCGUUUGGGCUGCAUGUGGCCAACAAUUGAGAAGCUUGUUGAGCUUCUGGCGUGAGAAUCAGUUCAUCAUCAUCCUGGUCUCGGCAAGGAAUUCUGGGAAGCAGAAUGAGUUGCAGUCGAUUCUCGAAGGUAGGUUUUGACUCUUGAAUCAAGUUUUGUUCUGGUGUUAGUGAUCGGAAGUUAUGGAAUUGAGUUUGACAUGGUUUGAUUGUAACGGACAGCUAUCUGGUUACCGAUUCUGUUAAGAGUUUAUGUUUGGAUCGUGAUGAAUCUGUUAAUGGUGUUGAAAUUGUGGAUUUUGAUAUACUUUGAAUGAUUGCAAUGAUUUUGGUUGUGGAGAUUGAAAA